rnacentral:lncRNA from 1 species
ACAGCCGCCUUCGAACUCUCCUCCUCUGAAAUUCUCUCAAGCUCUUAAAACCCUAAUCAUCUCCCUUGUCUUCUCCGACUAAUCUUCAGCGGAAUCCAUGGCUUCUCAGGCCAUUGACAGCCUGUGCUCACCUGCUUUAACCUCCAGACCCUGGAUGUUCAAAGUUUUGAGGUCUGACCUCAACGAUGCAUGUUCAUAUCCUUCGCUGAUCUGUGCUCCUAUGGCCUCUCCGGUUCUGUUCCGACGUGUUUUAGCCUUAAGAGCCUAGCUAUGGCGCAGACCUGUUUGGGGCCAGACCUUUUCCAAGCCUUCUCAUUUCUAGGGUUUCCGAGAAACUCUAAAGCUAUUUCGAAGUUCCUUCUUCUAUUAUUUUCUUAUAUCUGUGAUGAAUCUAUGUUGUACUCAAUGUUGUGAAGUUUUUCCCCAAUUUUCUUUUUCAAAUUUAGCCUAUUUCAAUUUAGGGUUUUCUGAAUAUCAUAAAAUGACUUCUGUCUCUUCUUCUUCUUUUCUUUGUGUGAAUCUAUUUGUAUAUGCCAUGUUCUUAUGAGUUUUUCGCUUGUGUUCUUAUAUGCUUUCCUCGCGUGUUCUUCUCCCGUGCUUUUAUGUUUGCCUUAUUAUGCAUGUUCUCUGUUCUUUCUUCUACCAGUUUCUAUAGAAUGCUUUCACAUGUUUAUCUUCUAUGUUCAUUUACCCAUGUGUUCCUUUAUUGUAAUUUUCUACUAAGCGUGAGUUCUUUACAUGCCUUCUUCUAAACUUUUUUAACUUCCAAAUUUCUUAAAACGUGUUCCCGCUACUCUUACUAUGUUUCAAAUCAGUUCUAUUUUCCUUGAAAUUGCUAUUUGUUCGUUUUCUCAUGAGUCUCUAAGACAAUUUCAAUUAUUUGCUUCUCUUCUGUGUAUCUUACUCAAGUCAAAAACCCUAGGAUUUGGGGGAGGGGGGCAGGGGAGGGUUGGACAAGUUUACAUCUUGUGUUUGGAACUAGGGUUAAUAUUUUUGAACUCUAGGUUUCUCAGAAUCGUCUGAGUGUACUCUUCUUUGAUCUAAAUUUUCUAUGAUAGGCUUUUUUAAUUAGCGUGAAAAUUAAUUCUUGUUUGACAUGCUUGUGUGCUUUAUAUGUGAGGUUCAUUCAAAAAAGGGUUUUCCUACUCAUGAUUGGAUUCAGAAUCUCUUUGGGUUUUAAUUGAUUUUCAUAUAUUUUUCUCAAGUAAAAGGCUCUCCUCAUUUUUCCCGACUUGGUUCGUCCGAACAAAGCCUACAAUUUAUAUUUUUGAUUGAUUCCAUUUCAUUUUUCUUACAAACCGUGUGUCAGUGGACUUUUUCCAUACAUAGACUUCUAUGUAUUUACCCUUUUAUGCUACAUUGGGAAAUUUUUUUUAUCAAACUCUUUCCUUAAUUAUCUUUUACUCAUUUGAAAUCAGAAUCCCUUAAUUAAAGGGAAUCUUGUGAGAUUGGUUUCUAGAUUAUUUUCUACCAAUAUUUACUUGCUUUCUACACUAUAAAGGGCAUGACUCUUCUGCACUUUUAGAGGAACUUCCAAUUCAACACGCAGACAGACAUAGUAACGAAAAACAAAAGUAACAAAGCAAUAGGCAAUCUAUUUUUCUACUCUCUUCUUCUCUCGACAUAAAUAGCUGUUUUGUUUUCUACUUCUUUCUUCGUAAAUAUCUUUAAGUUAUGCUAAAAUCCUUGAGUGUUCUGCUGAAAUUCUAAGUUGGUUCUGCUGUUUGCUUGUUGUGGUUACUCUGCUAUUCUCUUUCUGUUACUUUGCAACUAGUAGGUCCAUCUUAUUCUAAUAUUGCUCCUCCACUAUGUGUUUUACCUUCCAGUUAUGGUAUGCUUUUCCUUACUGCUUUUCCUACAAUGUUAUGUGAAUUCCCUUACCCUUUUACCCAUUUAUGUGUGAGUUAUAAUUCAAAGGUAUGACAACACUCUAAUAUUGUUGUCUAUGGUUUUUGGACUAGGUUCUUUUGAGCUCCUUACUCAGUCGAUUCCCACUUCCCUUUUCCCUUUUAUGUGCUGAGCCUGACUUGGGUCUGGUGGUGUUCUAAUCAUCAUCCAGACUCAUAUCUGACCCUAAAGGGUUUGCUCCUAACUUGUUUGACAAAACAAAUGGUCAGGGGUAUUCCAUCUUGCACCUAUGGCUGGGUAUGGCCAUCAUUUGUUAUGGUUCCCCAAAUCUUUGCACUUACUCUUAGCUAUUAAGUUCUGCCCCUCUCUUGCGAGCCAUGCUUUGGGACCAUGGAGCUCCCUCUGAACUUGGAUUCCUGAGGGAUGGCUAUUCCACACUGCACUAUUCUAAUUCUAAUGGUAUCUUGAGUGUAAGCACUGGCAGGAAUCCUUGAGAUUCCUUGGAACAUUAAAACACUUUGGAUUAAAAAGGCUUUGGAAAUAUGGAUUCCAGAAGUUGGUUAAUCACAUACUAUUGGACAUUAAGGUUGCAUUAGGCGGUUUGGAUCUAGCUGUAGAUUUUGAUGUAUUUUAUAUUUUUCUUCAUCUUUUCUAGUUCUGUAAUAAUUUUUGUAUAAAAGAACUUGGGGAGAUAUAGUAAAAGGGUGUGGGAAAAGUUUACUUUCUUGCAUAAAUAAAAAGGGAAGAUAUCAUGUCUUUAGGACUCUAAAAAUUCUUAUUAAAAAUCCUGCCUAUAGGGUUGUCCAAUAGUUCUAAUUCAGUCACCUAGAUACAUGCCUAUAGGAUUUAACGUUUUAAUUCAGCCACCUAGAUACCAUGACUAUAAGGUUAAACAUUUAAUCAUGCUACAAGCUACCUAGAUAUCAUGCCUAUAGGACUAUAGCGUUCAUGUAAAUCAAUGCCUAUAGAAAUCAUGUCUUUAGAGAUUGCAUAUUCAUUAGGAAAACUUUAGGGAUAAUAUAUAUAUCACGCCUAUAAUAUUUUGCAUCAAACUCGACUAAUCCAUUUUAAGCAAUAUCAAUCUGUUAAAUGGUCUUCAACAUCUUAAUUUCUAAGUUAGUGCACGGACUUAUACAAGUAAUCUAGGCAAGGUAUCUUGAGUGUUAGCAAGACAGCUUGAUUGUGGGCAAUGGCUAUGGAAAAUGAAGGUGCAUGCCACUUGUCUUAGGCAAGCGUGCGGAUCAGUAGGACAUCAAAGUUUGUGGCAAGACAUGGUCAUGAGCUUAUAGUCAAGACAUGGUCCAGAGACAAGGCAAAGCAGGAAGGCAAAGUAUGGAAAAAAGCUGAAAAAGAAGUGAGCAAGUCAUGUGACUGAAGAACUCUAUUGUGCAUAUGCUAUGGAAGUUAAGCAUGUGCAAAGAACAUAUUGCAGUUGGCCAAAAUGCUGAAUAUGAGUUCAAAAUCGUGGAAGGUUUGAAUUAAAAUUUAGGACAAGGAAGUUAGCUUGUUUUUAGGCAUGCCAUGUACAAGGUACAUUGUAUAACUGCUCUUUGUAAAUCUUCCAUUGGCAACCCCUUUUAUAUGUUGUAUUUCGUUGGUAAUAAGGCAAGUAGAAUAUGUG